rnacentral:rRNA from 1 species
AGGUCCAGCCUGCCCAGUGAAAAUUUAACGGCCGCGGUACCCUGACCGUGCGAAGGUAGCAUAAUCACUUGUUCUUUAAAUAGGGACUAGUAUCAACGGCAUCACGAGGGUUACACUGUCUCCUUUCUCCAAUCAGUGAAACUGAUCUCCCCGUGAAGAAGCGGGGAUAUAAUCAUAAGACGAGAAGACCCCAUGGAGCUUUAAAUUUUACAGCAACUCAGUCAAACAAACCUUUAUAAUCCACAGAGCCAUGCAUGCCAAUUUUAGGUUGGGGUGACCGCGGAGCAAAAAUAAACCUCCACGACGAAAAGAACUAAAUCUUUAUCCAAGAGCUACAACUCUAAGAAUUAGAAUACUAACGACAAUGACCCGAUAAUCGAUCAACGGACCAAGUUACCCUGGGGAUAACAGCGCAAUCUACUUCGAGAGCUCAUAUCGACAAGUAGGCUUACGACCUCGAUGUUGGAUCAGGGUAUCCCAGUGGUGCAGCCGCUACUAAUGGUUC